rnacentral:rRNA from 1 species
UACGGAGGGUGCAAACGUUGCUCGGAAUCAUUGGGCGUAAAGCGCACGUAGGCGGCCGAAUACGUCGGGUGUGAAAGCCCUGGGCUCAACCCAGGAAGUGCACUCGAAACUGCUCGGCUUGAAUAUGGAAGAGGGUUGCGGAAUUCCCGGUGUAGAGGUGAAAUUCGUAGAUAUCGGGAGGAACACCAGUGGCGAAGGCGGCAACCUGGGCCAAUAUUGACGCUGAGGUGCGAAAGCGUGGGGAGCAAACAGG